rnacentral:tRNA from 1 species
GGCUCUGUAUCCCAACUGGUAGAGGACGUUGGCUUAGACCCAACGAAGUGUCGGUUCGAAUCCGACCAGAGUCA